rnacentral:lncRNA from 1 species
GACAAUAGGUUCAGAAUAGUCCCUUAGAAUGUCAGGGAAUACACAUUCACUCACAGCCCAGGCGCUCUUGCAUCUCUGACAGGGAGACUUGGAUUUCUCCUUAGACCUACCAGGCCUGAGAUGUGAUUUCUACUUGAUUUCUCAGUGCUCUGUAAUGGGAUCAGGAAGAACCCAGUUGAGAGUCUCUGGGGCAGAGAUUCCUGGCUUUAGAUGGCUUCACUGUCGCUACGAGGAACAUGUUUUACCUGCUUCAGAGAUGAAGAGACUGGGACGGUACAAAAUUGGGUAAAUUGCCUGGGCUCUCAACCAAGGCAGAAGGAAGACUUAUACGCAGGCAUCAAUACCUCUACUCUGCAUAAACCAUGCUGCCUUGUGAAUAACAUGUCUCACUCUCCUUAGCCCAUCAUAGGAGUACUCUCAUAGCUUUCCCCUGCCUAUCUUGGAAGCACCAAUGUUGUCCUCUCAGAGUUGUAGUCAGACCUGGGUUCCAAUCCUGAUUCUGUCACUUAUUACCUACCUAUGCAUGAACUUGGGCAAAUAAUUUAACCUCCUAAGCCUCAGUUUCUUCAUCUGUAAAAUGGAAAUAAUACUUCACAUUGAUGUGCAGAUAAAGUGGCAUUGUGUAUACACCCUUUGCAUGGGUUACGUGGUAGAGAUUCCUCUGGUGAUGGUGAUCAUGGCUGCUGCUCUCUCUCUUAACUGGGUUGUGAUGAGUGCAAAAAUAGCAAGGACAAUGAAACUAUUGCCCCUGCUUCUCCUUUGUCUUUCAUAUCCACCAGGAAAUUAGAGGAACUGAUGGAGACCCUGAUCCACAAAGCUCUGAGAUCAAAUUCAUUUACAUUUCAGUCAGUCUUCAAAUCUGGGGAGUCUAAUCACUUUUGAGGAGGUGGGUGGGUACAAGGUGAGAGAAGAAGCUCAAGGAGGCUCUUGGAGACUCGGGAGGCUAGCUGGGAUGAGAAUAGUGAGAGCAAGGAGUAUAUGGGAGUAAAAGUAGAACUAGGCAAGAAGUAUACCCCACUUCUGAGUCUCCAUUCUCAGACCCACAGCUGAGUUCUUCCACGGAAGCAAUAUUAGGACGAGGUAAGAGCUGCAUCUGACAGUAGAUGAGCAGGGACAUGCAGCACCAGGCUUGGCUGGGGCCUGAGGCAGCUUCCAGAGGACACUGCCUAUAGUUAAGGCCUAGAGAAGGAUGGCUCCUUAGUGAUGAUCUCAGGGAACUACUAAGUGCACUAGGUGUGACCAAGAACUUUGCAUGUGGGAAAUGGGUUUCAUUUUCAGUGUACAUCCUUUGAAGGACUCGGGACUGUUCAGAGCCUAUGUGUCUAGCAAGCAUGCAAGACUGAGCUGUUUCUAAUACUGUGAAUUAACUCUGACCAUUGUUUGUCUGCCAAUGACUUUUCUCCUGCUCUGCUCUCAGGAAGAAGACAGCUACCUAGAAAAGGUAAUUCAAUCCAUUGGUGGUAAUGAAGGUUUCCUUGUGCUUGAUUAACACUUAACUGUGGUCCCUGGAAAUUGUCCCUAAGCAUUCUCAUAUCAGAGGCCUCUGACUCGGUGAGAAUUUCCUAAUAACCACUGAUGUCCUGCAAGGUAUCUUGAAGUAUGCUCAAAAUAUAGGAACAACAUCGACACAUCUGAGACGUUAUUGAUACUCUGUAUGUAGAAGAAAUAAAACUCAAGGGUCUAUUUUCUUUUUCUUUUUGAGACAGGAUCUCAUGUACUAUAGGCUAGCCUCACUAGGUAGCAAAGAGUGACCUUAAUUUUUUUCAUCCUCCUGUCUCUACCUCCCCAGUGCUGAGAUUACAGCACCCCUGGUUUUACUCAGUCCUGAGAAUCAAACUUGGUCCUUGUGAUAGAUGAUAGAUAAGCAUUCUUACAACUGCUAUAUCCCUAGCUACUAGUAUGUGUGCAUGCAUGUUUGCAUGCUUUUGCACACUAAAUUAUGCUGCAAGGGAUAAAACACAGGGCCUUACACAUGCUAGACAAACACACUACCCACACCACUUUGUAUUUUUUAAUUUGCAGACAAGUGCUGCACUAUGAAACUACAUCUCUAGCCCAGAUUUGUCUUGAUAAAUCUUAUCUGAAAACUCAUGAGUUGGUAGUAAAACCAAAAAAUAAUUUUUUUGGUUAUUCCUGUUACAUUAAAAGUAAUUUGGAGCUCCUAGCGUCCAUGAAUUCGUGGUGCCACUUGCAUGUUCAGGUUCCACUGGAUAUUACCACCACCUCUCCCACAAGAAUGGCAGGGUUUGUGUGUCCUCUUUUCUCAAAUAAAAUGAUUUAACUAAAAAACAAAACAAAAC